rnacentral:lncRNA from 1 species
UGCUGGGAUUAAAGACGUGCACCACCAAUGCCCAGCUCUGUCUAUAUUUUUUGGCUUUUUAAUUUUUAUAUUGCUCUUAAUUUUUUUAUUAGCAUAAACAGAAAUAUUUUAAUUUUCAAAUCAUGAUCUACAUAAGACCAACCAGUAGCUACUGAUUUAUAAAAAAAAUCAUUAUUAGCCUUUAGAAAUAAUUAGAAGUUACAGGUCAUUAUGAGUCACUCCACAUGGAUGAUGGGAACCAAAUUCUCUGGUCCUCUGCAAGAGAGCCACAUUUGUUCUUAAACCAGAAAGAGAGCUGCAGCUCCAUAAAAGACAUUUCUUUGCUAAUGUUACAUAACUGCCCAACAAGGAUCCUGUAGUGGUUGAUAUUAUAAUUGAACCGUGUCAUACGAAUUUUACUAACUAUAAAGAUUUUUUAUUUCAAUACAGGGUCUCAACACAUAGUUUUUCUGCCUCAGCCUCUGGUGUGCUGAGGUUACAGGAACACAUCAUUAUUCAGAACUAGAAAAUAUUAAUAACAAAUAUUCACUGACAACUUGCCAACCCCUAAAAUCUAGAGGACCAUUUGUUCAGCAGUAAACUGAAUUGUUUUCUCUGAUGUGAAAUCAUUUUGCUUAAAUUCUUUCUUUUUAAUCCAAACUAGGGAUGUGUAUCUUUUCUCCUAAAAAUUACUUUUUUUUAUAAAUUGCAUUCUCUGAUUUUCUUGUCAGCUUGCUUUAAAGAUAUUCAUGUGUUAAGAAUGCUUGCUCGAAGUUUGGCCCCAUACCAAAUGGUUGUUUAACCCAAAUAUCUGAGCAGCAAACUGGGCGGAUCCUUCUGGAGAAAGUAUAGUUGAACAGCCGAAGGGCAGUCGAAGGGAUGACCACACAUCCUGAGCACCCCAGUCUGGUGUGAUGGGGGGACAGCUGAUAACUGGAUAUGCAGUAUUACCAGACAUCACUGGGCCCAAACCAUUGCUUCUGCCAGCCACUGCGACAAAUACAGUAGUGACCAAGGUCAGAAGUGGAACCCAUCAGCACUACAACCCUGCGCUGACUAUCUGACUUCUGGAGUAACCCACUCAAAGUUCUUCUUUACCAUCUGCAGUCCUUACACAUAAUCCUCUCCGAAAACUUCCCAUCUACACAUAUCUAAAUGUAUACCUCCAACUUAUUUUUUUUUUAAUCUCAUUUGUU